rnacentral:misc_RNA from 1 species
UUGUGGAGGAGGACGCCGAAGGUGGGGCUAAUGACUGGGGUGAAGUCGUAACAAGGUAGCCGUACCGGAAGGUGCGGCUGGAUCACCUCCUAACAGGGAGACAACAAAAUGUUUAAUAUUAUUUUGUCACCUUAGGUCGAUCGGUAUCUCACGUUCUUAUUUUUUAAGAAUUUCAUUUCCUAAGUUUUUCUAGGUCACACCCAUUAUUUUUCCUGGGCCAUUAGCUCAGGUGGUUAGAGCGCACCCCUGAUAAGGGUGAGGUCCCUGGUUCAAGUCCAGGAUGGCCCAUAUCUCUAUGUUGGGGGUAUAGCUCAGUUGGUAGAGCGCCUGCUUUGCAAGCAGGAUGUCAGCGGUUCGAGUCCGCUUACCUCCACUGAUUACCACCUCUUCCAUAAUCUGUAGAAAGGAAAUGUUUUGAGUUGUGAUCAAAUUCUGAACGAAUCUAGCUUCCUAAUGAAAACAUUAAGAUGCUGGACUCAUUGAAUUAAUUUCAUUGGUUUCAGGGAACCUUGACAACUGCAUAGAUUAUUUUAAAGACAAUAAGCAUUUUUAAUGAUGCAGAUUUAUUAUUUAUGCGAAUGCAUUAAAUAACAAUUCUAUUAAGCUGAUGCUUCAAUUUUGAAGUUAUUGGUCAAGCUACAA